GUGAAGUCCAGGCGUGGCCGUAUCGCCCCUGGCAUAAAGCAUUGUUGACUUAUUGUGGUACGAGAUUGAUAUGUAGAGGGCUAUUGGUGACAGAUUCAUCCUUGAGGUGAUUUAUUUGUGAUGUGACGCAUUCCAUGAUAGUAUACGUUAAAAUGAACUGUUUUCUUUUAUGGUUUCUGCUCACUGGGCUUUUUAGCUCACCCCUCUCCCCUAACCCCUGGUUUGCAGGGUCAGAGGUAGUUCAGGAAGAUGACGAGAUAUGGUUAUGGUCAGGACAUGUAAUAGAAUAGUAGUGGACAUGAUGUAAUGUAAGGAUAUGUAUUGAUGUAAAAAGAGAUGUAUUGCAUAAUGAUAUUAUGUUAUAUGAUCAGAGUUAUCGUAUGGUGCUUGGCUCGAGUUGGAUAAUCCCCUUGUACAUGAGUUUUAUUUUAUGUUGUUUCAUGUGAUGGACCGAGUUUGACAUAGGAUAUGCUGACCCUAGGGGUCCUAUGAGUUCAGUCAUAGUGCAUACACAGGUCAAACGGGUUACAGAAAAAGUUUACAGUUUCAUGUUUUAAAGUUUAUGCUUAUGUUUUAUCAUGUUUGGGAUUACCAGCUGUACAGGAUGUAUGUUAGGCUUGCUACGGGUCCCGGCGACCUUAAGUCGAUCUGGAUCCUAGCGCCGGUAGCGGUCCGAUUUCCGGGUCGUUACAGAAUGGUAUCAGAGCCCUAGGUUCACAUGGUCGGACCUAUAGUGUGUCGGGCUCAUAGAGGUUGUAGUAGGGUGAGCACAAUAGGAAGAUCAUGUCCACUAGGAUAGGAUAUGGAGUCCUGUCUUGUAUGAUGAUGUGAAAUGCCAUGAUGAUGAGCAUGUGCAUUAAUGCUAUGUUAUGUAUGUGAUGCAGGUUCAUGUGUUUCCACAUGAACCAUAAGAUGCUAAUGUUUAUGUGCUAUGUUAUGCUUUCAGAAGUCAAGAUGAGAGGAACUCGUCGAUCUGCGAGAUUGACUGGAGCUCCGCCAGAGAAUGAGGGCAUGGAUGCCCAUUCCCCUGCUCUGCAGAGGGCAAGAUCUUGUAGGACGAUCAGGGAAAGUACAUCAAGGGACCCUAUAAGGUCUUUUGAUGCAUGUCGGAGGAAAUCAGUUCAUGAAGGUAUGUCAGCGGAUGUGAUGGAAACAGAGGAGGAUAACCAGAGAAGAGAUAGUAGUUUGGGCAUGAGUAUGUCAGUAGAGGAUAUGCGAGAGUCCCAAGGAGGCACUCAGGCCUCGGGCUUUGUUCCACUACAGUGUCCACCCUACCCGCAAGGGCCAGGGUAUCCGAUGGGAGGUACAUCGGAUUUCUUUAGCCAUAAUCCAUAUCCCACCUUUAUGCCCUAUCCUCCCUUUUACCCACAGUACCCCAUGUUUCCAUCCUCACCCUUUUUCCCAGGUCCAGCAAACCCUAACCCAGGGGAUGCUGCACCUCCUCCUCCACCAGCAGAACCAAUAGUCCCUGAUGUCCGGAUACCCAAACCUGGUUCAUCAGUUGGGGGUAAAGUAAAGAUGACAGAUUACCUCAAGUUGGAUGCCCCCAAGUUCGAAGCAGGCGAUGACCCUUUUGAGUACCUCAGAACGGUGAAGAUGAUAACUGAUGAGCUAGAAGCAAGUGACAGUAGAGCUAUUCAGAUGGCAGGGUUCACAUUGAAAUGCAAGAAGGCAAGGGAAUGGUUCAAAAACUAUGUGGACCCAAGGUUGGAGAGCUUAUCCUGGGAGCAGUUUGCCAAUGAGUUUGCAGGAUGGGCUUUUCCAGAUAGUUCCAGAGAAUUGAAGAUGAUUGAGUUUGAGCAGCUAAGGCAGACGGAAGAGAUGAGCGUAGAGGAGUUUACAGACAGGUUCCUGGAGCUGUUGCCGUUUGCAGGACAAGGUCUUGAUACAGACCUGAAGAAGUCUAGGAGAUAUGUUAUGAAGCUUCACUCCAGGUAUUCCUCGUUGGUUCAAUCAGCAGAAAGGGAGAGUUUCCAUGUUAUAGUGGAUAUGGCACGGAGAAUGGAGGCUAGUGCCAUUGUCCAAGGGACAGUUAAACAGUACAUGACACAGUCUUCGGGUUCCAAACUCCCGAGGACAAGUGAUGUUGAUCUCUCCCCUCUGAACGAGGCUGUCACAAAAAGUAAGAAGGGAGACAGAGGUCUCAGAAGAUCAAAGAAGAACAAGUUCUGGAAUCGGAUAAAGUCUGGUCUGGGAUUAGGAGGUGGCUCGAGCUCAGGCACAGAAGUUGCAGAGUGUACGAGGUGCGGUAGGCCGCACAAGGGAGUCUGUCGGUUUGGGACUACAGCAUGUUACAGAUGCGGCCAGGAGGGGCACAUAGCUCGGGAGUGCCCUAAGGCAGCUUUUAUGACACCGUCCCAUCAGACAACUCCAGGCAGUAUGGCUCAGCCAUCAGCUCCAGUCAUGUUUCAGGGCAGUGGUAGAGGCGGAGAUAGGGGGACAGCCCCUUCUUCAGCAGGUUCCCGUGGGGAAGGUCCAUCAGCUCCAGCGCGGAUCUUCGCCAUGACUCAACAGGAGGCUAACACAUCGAACCCGAUGGGAUCAGGUAAUCUCACUCUGGUAUGUUCUGGUGUGUCUGUUUCAUGAACCCUGAUGUUUCUCUUUUAUUUGUUUGCUUGUGAGCCCUCGUGAGAUUGGGUUGAUAGCUUAUGGGUUAGAGUAUCCCCUUGGGGUCAGUGCACCCAAGUGUGAUCCAUCUGUGGCAGAGUCAGUCUGCCGGUUUAGUCAGAGUAUGUGUUGUGAGUAGAUGCCUUCCAGCUGACCUAGCGGUUCUAGAUUUGACUGUUUGACGUCAUUCUAGGGUUGGAUUGGUUCUUCUACUAGUGGUACUACCUAGUCUGCAGAGACAAGGUAGUCAGGUUCCGAGGUAAGGAUGGAUCAGAGGUAGUCCUUAGAGGGGACAGAAUAGGGAUACCUAGAGGUUCAGUAUCAACCCUAUAGGCUCGUAGGUUGUUCAGGAAAAGUUGUCAGGGGUUCUAGCUCUUCAGAGAGAGUAUAGCAGUCAGGUCAGGGAGCCCGCCUCAGUGCCCAUUGUUAGAGAGUUUUAGAUGUUUCCCCAGACGAGUUCCCAGGACUACCACCUGUCAGGGAGAUAGAGUUCAAAAUAGAAGUAAUGCAUGGAAUUGGACCAACCUCUAUCCCUCCCCACAGGAUGGUAUCAACAAGGUUUAAAGAGAUGUAAGAGCAAUGGUAUAAGUUGGUAGUUAAGGGUUCCCAUCUGACUGAGCACUUCGCCUUGGGGUGUUCCAGUGUUGUUAUGAGGAUGAAGGAUGGAUCCCUAGGACUUUGUAUCGACUACAAGUCGUUGAGCAAGGUCACUACCCAGAAUAAGUGUUUGUUACCUUGGAUCGACGAUCUAUUUUAAGCCAGCUAGCAGGAGCUAGUUGCCUUUCCAAGAUAGAUCUGAAGUCUAGGUACCAUCAGUUAAGAUCAAGGAAGAAGAUGUACUGAGAACAGUGUUUAGAACCAGAUAUGGGCACUAUGAGUUCCUAGGAAUGUCGUUCGGGUUAAUAAACGCCCCUACAUCAUUCGUGGAUCUCAUAAGCAGAGUUUUAGUCGGUUUCUGGAUCACUCCGUUAUUGUCUUCAUUGACGGUACCUCGGUGAGUUCCAGAAAUGCAGAAGAGUAUGCCCAUCAUCUGAAAUCAGGAUUGCAAAUCCUGAGAGAACAUGGCUUGGAUGCCUAGUUCUCCAAUGUGAGUUCUGGUCGAGGAGCAUAUCCUUCUUGGGUCAUAUGUGUCGGAGAAAGGAAAGUGAAGUAGACCUGAGAAAGUUGAAGUUGUAGCCGACUAGCCCAGGCCCAUGGUAAUGACAAAGAUUAAGAACUUUUGGGUUGGGCAGGUUACCUAAUGGAGGUUCAUCUAGAACUUCUCUAGAGUUGCCGCUCCUAUGGCCAGAUGGAUCAAGAAGAACCAAAGGGUGUGUGGUCUACUUAGAGUGAAGAUGGCUUUGAAAAGCCAAAGGAAAUGUUGAUGUCAGCACCAGUGGUGGCUCUGUCCGCCAGUGAUGGAGAUUUCACAGUGUCCUGUGAUGCGUCCCGUGAGGGACUAGGUUGUGUGUUAAUGUAAAGUGGUAGAAUGAUUGCUUAUGCUUCUAGGUAGCUGAAGAAGCAUGAGUUGAAUCAUAUUACACACGAUCCAGAGAUGGCAAUGGUAAUACUUGCACUCAAGAUGUGGAAGCGAUACCUGUAUAAGGUAUGAGGACAGAUCCUUACAGAUCGAAAGAGCUUGCAAUACAUCUUGAGUCAAGGGAGAAGAACAUGAGGUAUAGGAGAUGGGUAAAAAACUGCGUGGUAUUCGCGACUUCAAGGUUCGGUAUAUUCGGCUGAGGCAAAUAUUUCGAUAGAUGCCCUCAACCGGAAACCACUUGGCAACUUACCCCAUCCCUUAGUACAGUAAGAAGAAAGCCAAUAGUCAGAAGAUGAGAAGAAUCAGAACUGCUGUGAGUCAGCAGGAGAGUAUGAAGUCGUCCGCAAGAGGCAUGUAGAGUUUCAGAAGAGAAGAAGAGUUUUUGUCAGAGUGCACGGCGGAAGCAUGUUGAGGUUCUCGAGGAAGUCGAGGUUUGCUGGAGGUGUCUCCUAAAGAGAGGGUGAUUCGCUAUGGGCGGAAAGGUAAAUUAGCUCUCAGAUACAUUGGACCCUUUGAAAUCCUGCAAAGGAUUUGGGAAUGCAUCCCACGAGUUAGAUUUACCCACUUCAAUGGAAGAGAUCCAUUCGUUUUUUUUCAUGUUUCCACGAUAUAUGAGUUCGUGUCGGGUCCGAGUGAGGUUCUUAAAGGAACCAGAGGUGGGGACCGUAGAGGAUCUCACCUAUGUUGAGCAGCUAGUACGGACCGCAGACACACAAGUCAGAAAGUGUGGAAACAAGGAAAUCUCGAUGGUGAAAGCCCCUUAGAAUCACCUUAAGAUGAAAAGUUCACCGGGGAGACCGAGAGUUUUUACUCCAGCAAUGACCGUGUCUCUCUUUUAGAAGAGAGGUUUUUAGGUUUUGCUUGCUUGUUGCUUGCUUGCUGAUGUAUGCUUGAUGCAUGUUUGUUUGUUUGAACAUUCGAGGACGGAUGUUCUUAAAGGGGGGAAGAAUGUAAUACCUGGCUAGAUUCCGGCAUCGGAAUCCCUACCUUCCGGCGGAAUCUCCGUUGGAAUAUGGAAUUUUGAUGAUGCCAGAGUCUUCUAGAGGGGUAAAAUGUGAUUUCUAAAAUGAUUUUUACUGAUUUCAUGGUUUUAAAUGAAAAAGAUUUGAGUUUUGAAAAGGAAAAGACCAAGGAGGUUUUUGCCNNNNNNNNNNNNNNNNNNNNNNNNNNNNNNNNNNNNNNNNNNNNNNNNNNNNNNNNNNNNNNNNNNNNNNNNNNNNNNNNNNNNNNNNNNNNNNNNNNNNNNNNNNNNNNNNNNNNNNNNNNNNNNNNNNNNNNNNNNNNNNNNNNNNNNNNNNCUGGCCACCUAUAAAAGCCCCUCAGACCGAAAAUGGGCGAGAUUUCUCCCCAUUCUCGAGCUCAGGUGUGUUCAUGUCCUCCUUUGGUCAUUUUCAUGUUUUCUCUUCAUCUCCUUCAUAUUUUUAUGAGUUCCAUGGUUGUUUUGAAGAGUUUUCAAGCUUAGAUCAAAGUUUUGGGAGCUUGUAGACCCAAGGAGUAGUUUCCUCCCAUCUCCAAGUUAGAGCUCGCACAAACCCUCGAUCUUCAAGAGGUAAGUGUUGAUCUAUGCUUUUCUUUACGUUUCAUGAAGUUUUAAGUGAGUUUUAAGAGGUUUUGAUGGUUGAGCAUGGGUAGAUAUGCAUGUUAGGGUUUAUGUGGGUUUUAUGCCUAAUGUAUGAUAAUGUAUGAUAAUGUAUGUUUGUGUUGGGGUUUAGGUCAGUUUUCAAGCCCCUUGAGCAUAUGGGAGAGAGUAUGCAUGAUUGGGAAAGAGUAUGUGAGGUUUGGUUUGUUUUGAUGGUUUUGGCCUAUGUGGGUCAUAAACUAUCUAUGUAUGCUUUAGAUGUUGUUUUUGGGGAGUUUAAGCUUGUUUGAGCUCCUUUGUGCAUGGUUAAGGAUGUAUGCAUGUGUUUGAGGAGUUGGAUGCUUGUUUUGGGGUGUAUGGAAGGUUUGGGAGGCUUGAAAUGCACAAAGGCUGAGUUCUGGAUGAACUCAGGUUCGGCCGCCGAAGGUGGUUUCGGUCGCCGAACCUGCCUGAGGAUGCAGGGAUUGGCCGCCUAACCUUGCCCCCGAAAGUUGAGUUUUGGCUUGAAACAGACUUUCGGCCGCCGAAGGUAAUGUUCGGCCGCCGAAAGUGCCUGACUUUCGUCUCUGGAGAGAGAGUUCGGCCGCCGAAGGUGCCGCCGAACCUGCCUGACUUUCGUCUCUGGAAGGGACCUUCGGCCGCCGAAAGUGCCCUGUCCAGCCGUUUCAUGAGUGUUUUCUAUGCAUGUUUAAGUGAUGCUUUAGGGGGUUUUUGGGUAGUUGUUUAUGAGUUGUUUAGAGUAUGUUUGGCACCUCACUGGAGUCCACCUAUGUAGGAUCGGACCCGAGGAACCAAGGUGUUUAGCAGUGUUAGCUGCUUCAGAGUUAGUAGCCAGAGGUGAGUGGAACUAACCCUUAUGUUUUAAAUCAAAUGUUUUCAGCAUGUUCAAGCAUGUUCAUGCAUCAUGAAUACCAUGUUAUGCAAUAGGUUGUUUGCAUUAGAAUUCACGAAUAUGAUGCAUUGCAUAAUACGAUGAUGAUGAUGUGGAUGGAUACUGGAUGAUCCUCUAGCCCUCGGUAUGUUAUGACAUGAUAUAAAUUGAUAUGAUAUGGCAUGUAUGAUAUGAUAUGAGAUGAGAAGCCCAGGCAUGGCCGUAUCGCCCCUGGCAUAUAGUAUGAGAAGUCCAGGUGUGGCCGUAUCGCCCCUGGCAUAAAGCAUUGUUGACUUGUUGUGGUACGAGAUUGAUAUGUAGAGGGCUAUUGGUGACAGAUUCAUCCUUAAGGUGAUUUAUUUGUGAUGUGACGCAUUCAUGAUAGCAUACGUUAAAAUGAGCUGUUUUCUUUUAUGGUUUCUGCUCACUGGGCUUUUUAGCUCACCCCUCUCCCCUAACCCCAGGUUUGCAGGGUCAGAGGUAGUUCAGGAAGAUGACGAGAUAUGGUUAUGGUCAGGACAUGUAAUAGAAUAGUAGUGGACAUGAUGUAAUGUAAG
rnacentral:lncRNA from 1 species